rnacentral:misc_RNA from 1 species
UCUCCGUAGGUGAACCUGCGGAGGGAUCAUUACCGAGUGAGCGCUCCGGCGCGACCUCCAACCCCAUGUUUUCCGACUCUGUUGCCUCGGGGGCGACCCGGCGCUUCGGCGCCAGGGGGUCCCCGCUGGUCCACACAACUCUGCAUCUUUGCGUCUGAGUAAACAUUAAAUGAAACAAAACUUUCAACAACGGAUCUCUUGGUUCUGGCAUCGAUGAAGAACGCAGC